UCCGUCCAGGUAGAGGGAAUCUGCCGCUUGACCAGUAUCACUGAUCGGGUCAGUGGUUAUCCCCAGUACCUCAAGGUCACUAUCACAGAGGAGUUCCCUCAUAGCAUCACUAUUCCAGGUGAACUCAAUCCCUAUAGUAUGAUGAAAGGUUUACUCCAGAUACCCCAGGACUACAGCUGUUUUCUUAUUUAGAUGUUGUCCACUAAGUCACUGGUGGGGAUGAGAGCACUACCCUGCACAUAGACAUUGAAUGGAGCUGCCUGGUCCAUUAUCAGAAGAGUGGGCAGCACUUUGCACCCGAUCAAUGAAGUUUCUUGAGAAGCAUUACGAGGGACUUGUAUGAAUGGGCAGAAGAAAUUUUCUUAACUAACUACCCCACCAUUGCCUGGUGUUGGAGACUGAACACUUUAUUGAAAAUUGAUGGGAUGUAGGAAUCAGUGGAUGUCAUCAUUUGCUCUGAGAAGAGUCAG